rnacentral:rRNA from 1 species
CCUACGGGUGGCAGCAGUGAGGAAUAUUGGUCAAUGGCCGUAAGGCUGAACCAGCCAAGUAGCGUGAGGGAAGACUGCCCUAUGGGUUGUAAACCUCUUUUAUGCGGGGAUAAAGGUGUCCACGUGUGGAUGUUUGCAGGUACCGCAUGAAUAAGGACCGGCUAAUUCCGUGCCAGCAGCCGCGGUAAUACGGAAGGUCCGGGCGUUAUCCGGAUUUAUUGGGUUUAAAGGGUGCGUAGGCGGAUUGAUAAGUUAGAGGUGAAAUGUCCGAGCUUAACUCGGGAACUGCCUCUAAUACUGUUGAUCUAGAGAGUAGAUGCGGUAGGCGGAAUGUAUGGUGUAGCGGUGAAAUGCUUAGAUAUCACGAAGAACUCCGAUUGCGAAGGCAGCUUACUAAACUGCCACUGACAUUGAUGCUCGAAAGUGUGGGUAUCAAACAGGAUUAGAUACCCGGGUAGUC